rnacentral:rRNA from 1 species
CAGUAGCCGCGGUAAUACGAAGGGGGCUAGCGUUGUUCGGAUUUACUGGGCGUAAAGCGCACGUAGGCGGAUCGAUCAGUCAGGGGUGAAAUCCUGGAGCUCAACUCCAGAACUGCCUUUGAUACUGUCGAUCUCGAGUCCGGAAGAGGUGAGUGGAGCUCCUAGUGUAGAGGUGGAAUUCGUAGAUAUUAGGAAGAACACCAGUGGCGAAGGCGGCUCACUGGUCCGGUACUGACGCUGAGGUGCGAAAGCGUGGGGAGCAAACAGGAUUAGAUACCCGUGUAGUCCCUGUCUCUUAUAC